rnacentral:lncRNA from 1 species
CUAGCCUUCCCCCAAUUGCUGCCACUUCCACACACCUUUUUUAUGUCUUAAAAUCCUAUUUUGUUAUAUCUCUAACUGUACAACUUCUAAAACAAGUAGUUGAAGUUAUUUUAGAAGUAAUUUUAUUCUCAUGUAGCCUACACAAAGGGAAAUAGGAAAGGAGAGGCUAAUGAAAAAUGGUGUGUAAAUUUCUGAUAAUGUUCAGACGCGUUAAAUAUUCACUUAAGCAUAACCUUUCUGUUUACACUCAUGGAUUCUGUAGUUAAAAAAAAAAAAAAAGCACAUACUGUUGUAUGCAUCCAUUGUUGCUGACUGUCUACCUGAAAGUGCAUCAAAUGCCUCGUCCCAGGAGGCUGUUCUGAAUAGAGUAGAGAGGGAGGGAGGGGCAUGUCAUCAUAGGCAGUUCAGAGCUCUGGAAUGACACCAUGGUCCCUUGAGACUAGAGUACUGACAUCCAACACAAGUCCUUGUUUUUCUGCAAGACGUGGAUUAAGGGAUGUGGAAGAGCAGAGGAGAAAUAUGAGCGAAGCAGCAGAGGGAAUGAAAUUGCUGGAAUAAACAUGCCAUAUAUGAGACAAGAAAGUAGUCCUCAAAAUUACUGUGAAAGUUCUAUCUACAAAAUAAGUGAAUUCUUGUGAACUGUUGGUAAAAUAAAUUCAUUCUCUA